AGAGUUUGAUCAUGGCUCAGGAUGAACGCUAGCUACAGGCUUAACACAUGCAAGUCGAGGGGAAACGGACAUCGAAAGCUUGCUUUUGAUGGGCGGUCGACCGGCGCACGGGUGAGUAACGCGUAUCCAACCUGCCCAUCACUUGGGGAUAACCUUGCGAAAGUAAGACUAAUACCCAAUGACGUCUCUAGAAGACAUCUGAAAGAGAUUAAAGAUUUAUCGGUGAUGGAUGGGGAUGCGUCUGAUUAGCUUGUUGGCGGGGUAACGGCCCACAAGGCGACGAUCAGUAGGGGUUCUGAGAGGAAGGUCCCCCANAUUGGAACUGAGACACGGUCCAAACUCCUACGGGAGCA
rnacentral:rRNA from 1 species